UACAGAGGGUGCGAGCGUUAAUCGGAAUUACUGGGCGUAAAGCGCACGUAGGUGGCGACGUAAGUCGGGUGUGAAAGCCCCGGGCUCAACCUGGGAAUUGCAUUCGAGACUGCAUUGCUGGAGUACGGAAGAGGAGGGCGGAAUUCCCGGUGUAGCGGUGAAAUGCGUAGAUAUCGGGAGGAACAUCAGUGGCGAAGGCGGCCCUCUGGUCCAGUACUGACACUCAAGUGCGACAGCGUGGGGAGCAAACAGG
rnacentral:rRNA from 1 species